rnacentral:tRNA from 1 species
GCCGGUAUAGCUCAGUUGGUAGAGCACCUGACUUGUAAUCAGGUGGUCGCGAGUUCGAGUCCCGCUGCCGGCACCA